CAUUAGAUGGCUGAAGGCAAGCAAUGGUCUCUUAAACCACUUUAUAGUAGAGUAGCCCCUACUUCUAAUG
rnacentral:tRNA from 1 species